ensembl:lncRNA
UUUCGGCAGUGAGUGUUAGCCUCCGGUUUAGUUAGCCUUCUAGACACAACCGUGUUGAAGUUGACAAAUCAAGUCCAUAAUAUAAGUAGCGGAACACGGAUAAGAGCUUUUUACAUACAAGCGCUGCGUUACAUAUUUUGAAGCUAAUUUAGGAGUUUUUCCGGAACCGUGUUAAAGAUGAAAUUAUUUUCCACGGUCUUCUCCGCGGUAAUUUCGGUUGCUGUGUGUGUUGCUCAGUUGAAUUUGGAGGCAGCUGAUGGAGAAAAUGUUACCAUAUCCUUCAAAACGGCUGGACUGGAGAGAGCCGAUCAAGUGAAGAUAACUUUGACAAGAGGAAGUCAGAAAUAUCUGAUUGCGCAGUACUGUCGCUGUGCUCAUUGUGGGGACUGUGAUGCCGUGGAAACACCGGGAGUCUUACUGCGAGUUGAAGAAGGAACCUUAACUCUUCUACGUGUCAGCUCCAAUAACUCAGGCCUCUAUGAAGUAAAAAUCAUUGGAAAUAAUGUGUCUGGGAUAAAUGCUACACUUGUUGUCAACAAACCUCUAUUGUCCUCCAGUAUAGAGCCAACACAAUCCUCCAUCUCAAAACCUCCAGAAUCCUCUGAACGCCAAAGGCUAUAUGUAUUAUUUGCUCCAGUUGUAUUCAUCUUUGUGGUCUUGGGGGUUUGUUUCUUCUGUAAAUACAAGAAGGAAUGUAAGUCAACAGCUGAUGUUGAAGCAGCAUGAUGAACCCCUGCUGUCUACAGAUUCAGUAUCUUCAAAAACAACUAUUGAAAACACUGAAGAUCAGCUGGUGGAGUUUUAAAACUGAUCCAGGUAUUCAGAAUGACAUCUGAUGGCACAGAUAGUUUGAUGAAAACGUCUCGCGCAUUGUGCUGUAUGGUUUGCACUUCCUCGUGCUGUAAAAUGCUUUAGCUACAGGCCUAUAUGUCAGUUUUUAAGAAACACAAUCUCUCCCAAGCAAUACUGUAAACUAUACAGGGAACCCUUAUUUAGUACACUAAUACUGAAAUUAACAACAGAGCCCAAACUAUUAUAUUCAACUGCUGUUUAUUUUAAGAUCUACUAAUUACACUCCAAAAAAAAGUCAGUUAAAACAGUUGUAUACAAAGAAAUUAAUUUGCACAUAAAAACUUUAUUUAGAUUUAAAUAUACAUUAAUAACCAUCAAUAAGCUCCUCUAAAAUGUUUUAAUAGCUAAUGAAGUCUAGUAAAAGCGAUGACUUGCACUGCCUAAAACGGCAUUAUUUUUUUUUAUUUUGUGAUUUUGUAAAAUUAUAUUGCAUUAAGUACUGCACGACACAUGACUGGCAGGAUACAGUCAGCCUCGAUCAUCAGCGGUUUCUAAACAAAGAUAAUUGCUUUUAUCAGCCAAAACCUGUUACUGGCCAAAAUAUGAUACAUACUUUAGCCUUAUUCAUACUGUUGGUCCAGAUUUGUUUUUUGUGCAUAUCUGAUUGGAAUCUGAUCAUAUUUAAUAAAACUGUUAGAAGCUGUCUGCCCUAGACAUUCCAACUCCACAUCAUUGCCAUAGAAACCAAUGCAAAUAUUCCAGAAAAUGAAAGACCGUCAAUCAUUUCAGAUUUGGACUGAGAGUCAGAAUGUAGCCUUUGAAGCCAAUGAACCUGCCAAACUAUCAGGUGCAGUUAUUUAUUCUUCAUCAAGUAUUCAUAAAUAUCAUCAGGGUAUCCUUUAACCAUCAUUUUGUUUGAUAUUUUUGUGCCACAUAUUGUACCCCUCAUCUGACUGGUUAAAUAAUGUGCUUGUCAUCUUAAUUUCACAAGAGUUGUCAAAUGUUAAAUAAUGAACGUUCAUUUAUAAAGUGUGUUCAGAUUAGAUGACAGCCAUUUAUACAAUAUGUGGGAAUAUGCGCUUUUACUAUUUUCAGUUUUUAUUCUUCUCUUACUGUUACAUAUAUUCAUAGUAUUUAUAUGCAAGUCUGAACUAAUUAACUGUGUCUGUUGUGAACUGAUAAACAAGUACAUAAUGCACCUGGGAACUGAGCCGUAUGCCAAUGCUUGAGCAGGCAGAGACAUAUAGUUGAUUUCUGUGUUCUCUGGUGCUUAUCUGACACUUGAAUUGUAAACGCCAUUAAUAAAAGACUCCUCAUCUCCACCCUGGACUCCUUGUCUCUUCAUUCAUGAUCCAACAAAUACACAUUUGUCAUGCAUGUACAUGUAUAAAAAUCAGAAAAAUAAUACAGAUUAUUUAUUUUGUGAAAGUAUAGAUUCAUAACAAGAAUUAGUCUGCAAAUGCAAAAAAAUAAAAGAUUAUACCUGGAUUUAAAUGUACUUACAUUUUUUUUAUAGUUAAUAUUAUUUGCA